GACGAACGCUGGCGGCGUGCCUAAUACAUGCAAGUAGAACGCUGAAGCUUGGUGCUUGCACCGAGCGGAUGAGUUGCGAACGGGUGAGUAACGCGUAGGUAACCUGCCUGGUAGCGGGGGAUAACUAUUGGAAACGAUAGCUAAUACCGCAUAAGAGUAGAUGUUGCAUGACAUUUGCUUAAAAGGUGCAAUUGCAUCACUACCAGAUGGACCUGCGUUGUAUUAGCUAGUUGGUGAGGUAACGGCUCACCAAGGCAACGAUACAUAGCCGACCUGAGAGGGUGAUCGGCCACACUGGGACUGAGACACGGCCCAGACUCCUACGUGAGGCAGCAGUAGGGAAUCUUCGGCAAUGGACGGAAGUCUGACCGAGCAACGCCGCGUGAGUGAAGAAGGUUUUCGGAUCGUAAAGCUCUGUUGUAAGAGAAGAACGAGUGUGAGAGUGGAAAGUUCACACUGUGACGGUAUCUUACCAGAAAGGGACGGCUAACUACGUG
rnacentral:rRNA from 1 species